rnacentral:rRNA from 1 species
AAAGUAAAUUUUAUUGUACCUUUUGCAUUAUGGUUAAGCAAUAUAAAAGCUAUAAGCUUUUCCCCGAAACUUGAUAGCGAGCUGUGUCUUUUUUGUUAAGAACCCAAAGGAUAUUUGUUGAAAAAAAUUCCUAAAAAAAACACUCAGAGGCUACAUACCAACCGCGCCAAGAAAUAGCUGGUUUUUUGUUAAAAUCAUUUAAGUGAAACUAGGAAGAAUCAAAAUAUAUUAUAAUAUAAACACUAUACUUCCUGUGCAAACCUAACAAGGAUAAGCUUGUUAAUUAAUAUAAUUAAAUUAUCAAUAACCAUCUAUAGUAGGUUUUAUAGCAACCAUCUUUACUAGUGCGUGACAGCCCAUACAUAAACGAAAUAAAAAUAAAAUAAAUAUAUCACACCAACAAAAACCUAUACCCAACAUAAUAGUAUAUAUUAUUAUGCUUUAAAUUAGUAUUCGUCAAUUUAUAACACCACACCAACUUUUACCCCAAUAAAAAAAAAAAAAAAGAAAUAAAGAAAAGAAACUCGGCAAACACGAACUUCGACUGUUUAACAAAAACACCGCCACUUGCACCCACUAAAUAAGUGGUACAUCCUGCCCAGUGAUAAAAUUUAAACGGCCGCGGUAGCCCGUGCUAAGGUAGCAUAAUCACUCGCCUUUUAAUUAGAGGAUAGAAUGAAUGGACAAACGAAUGUUCUUCUGUCUCUUUUUUAAUACUAAAAAUUAACAUUUAGGUGAAGAGGCCUAAAUAGCGUAAAAAGACAAAAAGACCCUGCAGAGCUUUAUUUAAUUUAUAUUAUUAAAACUAUUAUAUAAAUUAUAAACAAUAUAAAAAAAAUUUGGUUGGGGCAACCCGGGAACAAAAAAAUCAUCCCGCAAAUAAUCAGACAUAUAAGUCAUAAAUAGAAACAGCCAUGUGCUAAUAAAAAGAAACAGCUACCUCAGGGAUAACAGGCCAAUCCUUCUUAAGAGUUCAUAUCGACAGAACGGGCUUGGUACCUCGAUGUUGGCUUAAGGGCAGCCACUUCAAUGCAGAAGUUAAAGCGGCAGGUCUGUUCGACCUUUAAUCCCUUUCAUGAGCUGAGUUCAGACCGGCGUAAGCCAGGUCAGCUCCUAUCUUUUACCUAACAGCCUUAUCAGCCGUACGAAAGGAUCCUGAUUUAAGCAAAAAAUUUGGCGCAACUCGAAAUAAAUAUAACCUAACAUAAAAAUAUUAAAUAUAAAAUUAAUUAC